rnacentral:rRNA from 1 species
UACGUAGGGGGCUAGCGUUGUCCGGAAUCAUUGGGCGUAAAGAGCGCGUAGGCGGCCAGAUAAGUCCGGUGUGAAAGUCAAAGGCUCAACCUUUGAAUGCCGCUGGAAACUGUCUGGCUAGAGUCCGGGAGGGGCGAGUGGAAUUCCUGGUGUAGCGGUGAAAUGCGCAGAUAUCAGGAGGAACACCGGUGGCGAAGGCGGGUCUCUGGGCCGAAACUGACGCUGGAGGAGCGAAAGCGUGGGGAGCGAACAGG